GGGCGAUUAGUUAAAUGGUAUAAUAAAGGUCUCCAAAACCUUGGUCGGGGGUUCGAUUCCCUCAUCGCCCGCAA
rnacentral:tRNA from 1 species